rnacentral:rRNA from 1 species
CGCCUGUUUAUCAAAAACAUGGUUUUUUGUUUUUAUGAAAAAUCGGACCUGCCCAAUGAGGAGAUUUAAUGGCCGCGGUAUAUUGACCGUGCGAAGGUAGCAUAAUCAUUUGCUUUUUAAUUGAGGGCUAGUAUGAAUGGUUGGACGUAAAAAAAUCUGUCUUGGAAAUAGAUUUUGAAUUUUAUUUUUUAGUGAAAAAGCUGAAAUUUUACUAAGGGACGAGAAGACCCUAUUAAGCUUUACUUUUUUGGUUUUUUUUAUUAAUUUUCGGUUGGGAAAGGCUAAGAGAGUUUUACUGGGGCGGUAGAGAAAGAAACUUAUCUUUUUUUUUAUAAUAAUACUUAUUUGUGAAUUUUUGACCCACUUUUAGUGGUAAUAGGAGUAAGUUACUGUAGGGAUAACAGCGUAAUUUUUUCGGAGAGUUCUUAUCGGCGAAGAAGUUUGCGACCUCGAUGUUGAAUUAAAGAGUCAGUAGGGCGGAGAAGUUCUAUAUGAAGGUCUGUUCGACCUUUAAAUCUUUACGUGAUUUGAGUUCAGACCGG